rnacentral:misc_RNA from 1 species
UCCGUGUUAACCACGGCAGUCUCUUUAGAGAGCCCAACUUAAUGCUGGCAACUAAAGACAAGGGUUGCGCUCGUUGCGGGACUUAACCCAACAUGUCACCACACGAGCUGACGACAGCCAUGCAGCACCUGUCAUCCGGUAGUAUUGCUACUAAAGACGUAUCUCUACGUUUGUCCGGAGAUGUCAAACCCAGGUAAGGUUCUUCGCGUUGCUUCGAAUUAAACCACAUGAUCCACCGCUUGUGCGGGCCCCCGUCAAUUCCUUUGAGUUUUAGUCUUGCGACCGUACUUCCCAGGCGCGGUACUUAUCGCGUUAGCUCCGGCUCGGCAGGGGUCAAGACCUACCAAGCCUAGUACCGAUCGUUUACGGCGUGGACUAC